rnacentral:rRNA from 1 species
UACGUAGGGGGCAAGCGUUAUCCGGAAUCACUGGGUGUAAAGGGAGCGUAGACGGCAAGGCAAGCCUGGAGUGAAAGGCGGGGGCCCAACCCCUGGACUGCUCUGGGAACUGUCUGGCUGGAGUGCAGGAGAGGUAAGUGGAAUUCCUAGUGUAGCGGUGAAAUGCGUAGAUAUUAGGAGGAACACCAGUGGCGAAGGCGACUUACUGGACUGUAACUGACGUUGAGGCACGAAAGUGUGGGGAGCAA